rnacentral:pre_miRNA from 1 species
CAGGAGGCAGCGGUACCAUUGAUCCGUUCCCUGGAAGCUGAAUAUAUAUAUACGCAACAUUACAGCAAAAGGAAUCGGUCGAUAAACCUCUGCAUCCAG